rnacentral:lncRNA from 1 species
UGGGGAGUGCUAGAGAGUCGGGCCAUUUACUUAGAUGUGCGAAUUCAAUGUGGUUUUGCUUUGUGUUUUUCUUUUCCCUUUUCUUUAUCUAUUCUUGAUAUUUGGAAUAACUGCAUGUGAAUUGUUGGAUAUUGAACCCUAGGGUAGAAAACAUGUUUAUAUCUGCCUGGGAAUCUUCUGGUUGUUUUGCAGGUGAGGGUUUGGGUGCAUUGCAUUCUCCCUUCACACUCACACAUAUUAUGCAUCUAUUGAGUGGGGCCCUAUACCCGGGUCUGAGCAUAACUUAGAACUAGAGGAGUUGUGUAGCGGUGUUACUCUGGGAUGUACUUCCUGUUUGGCUAUCGUGAGAACUCCAACUAGAGUCUCUUCUCUUCAUUUGUGUCUUCACACCUAGUUGAUUACUCGACUGUUGUGGAAAUGCUGUGGAAGGGGUCAUAGCUCUAGUGACCUUUGAUCCUUAGGCUCAGGGAACUAUCCUGGUGAGAUUGCAUAUACUUGACCUUAAAUCUAAAAUGUUGAACCUUCACUAGGGCACAAAGGGAGAUGUGUGCAGUCUUAUAACCCUCAUUUUUGCUUAAUAAAAUCAAGCACCUUGUACAUAUCACUACAUUGUUUUUUUUUUCUUUCUUUCUUUGUUGCUCAUGUUUUUAUGGUCUUGUCAAAAUUUUGUGGGUUCUAGUUAAGAAAUUAUAAAGUCGUGAUUACGGUAAAAAGGGAAUUUAACAUGGGAUUUUGAGUUAAGGGGCAUUCGAGUUUGGACUUUUUGAAGAAAAGCAUGCACAUUGAGG